ACUAAUUUUUGAAGGGGUAAGGUAAUUGAGCGAAAUCUUUGUUCACUCAACACUCCCAUCUUCACUAUAAAUAGACCUCACUCUCCAAGAUCACUCAACAUAUUAAUUUUCACUUCACAACCUCAGUUUUUUCUUUGUUAAAGUUUAUCGGGCUGUUCAUUAGAAAUCAUGACUUGCACUUAAGGUUUAUCGGGCUGUUCAUUCGGCACUAGCCGUGCAGGAAGCAAGAUGUACCUAGACUUUGGCGAGAGCACUAACACUCAAACCCCGACCAUCGUAGGUGUUUCUUCUCAGAAACUGUUUUUUGAGGGAUCAGAAAUGAGAAUAGAAGAACUAUCAAAAGAUUAUACGAUUAAGCGGAAGCGGGUAUCGGUUCAUACCUUGAACUUGAGCUCCGAUUAGCAAGAACAAGCAGCAACAACAACAACGUUUCAACACGACGAUCAACGGGUACUACAAUCUCCAAAGAUGAACACAAACUUGAUUCACAGGCUAAGAACUUAAAACCUUUAUCUCGUUAUGGUAACUCUCUUUUAGGGUUAGAGUAAUCACUUUUCUAAUGGUAAAACCCUAUGUGUGAUAUAGGUGGGAAUCACCUAACCCUUUACACAUAUAGGUUCCAAACCCUAAGGAAUAUGGAACCCUACCGGGCUUACCACAUACAAUAUGGACGACCAUAUUCGGAUCCAACCCGAAUAUCUAACAUCUCCCACUCGCACAUAGUGUGUGUGGAUUAUACCAGAAGAAAAAAAAGUUCAUAUUAUGAUAUGGCACAAGCGAAAGAAAUUAGAAAAGUAACAGACCAAGGAGAAUCCACUCCCAAAACGUAACACUCACUCAAAUCUAGGAGCUACGACAAUCUCUAAUCCAAGAGUUAAAACGAUAAACAAUAGUAUAAACCAAACAACUUAAGAGUUUUCAUUAAUCAGAUAAAAGUGAGCCAAACCAAGCUACCUUACAAUGACAAGAACAACGAAUACUUAUAGUUUAACUAAACCCUAACAAACCUUUGACCGAACAGAACUUCACAUACGUGUGAAGUUUAUCCUAAUCAUCUAACAGAAUUAUAGCAAAUCCUAACAAUGAUACGACUAAACAGAUAAUAAGGACCGGGUCCGAGACUCAUGAUAGACAUCCUAUAUACGUCCCGUAUCAGGCUUCCCUACUGCGAAGAAACUCUUCUCGAGUUUACAAUGAAUGAGGCAAGUCAGAAACAAAGCACUUGACUGUCCUUACAUCGUUGCUUCAGUAGCGUAGCUUGCUGUCGAAUUAUGCAUGGGCGUAACAAAACGACUAAAACCCGAUAAAUGAUGACAUCCCCUCUGUUCUUGUAUACUGGAUUUGAGCUGAUGCUUUUGUACAAAUCCAUAAACAAAAGUUAGAGAUUCCAUUCCUAGCAUAUGAACGUAAUCACAAGAGCCUCCAGAAGAUAUGGUUUUUACUUUAUAAUAUAUAGCAAAUGCAUCUUCAUAUUGAUAGGGAACUGACAACGCCACAUCCAUUGCCAUCGACUUCUUGGUCGAAACCAAGAUGUCGCCAUGGUGAGAAACAGCCAUGAGAUCUAUCUCGGAUGAUUUUGGCACCAACAUUAAGUCUCCACAUGUGUCCACUUGUAAAACCAUGGUAAUUGUUGUCUCAGUUUCCUUGAUUGUUUUCUUAUGCAAACCCAUCAACUGCCUGGUAUAACUUCUCAGGCUUUACAGAAGCAUUACUGACAAACUCCUUACUGUCUUCGUCUCCUUGCGAAGGUCUAGAACCUAACAUUAGAAUUACCUUUGUCUUUCCCACCCGGAACUCAUACAAGUUGUUGCUUCGGCUGCUACGAACUGCUCGAACAUUAAAUAACCAAGACGUACCCAACACAACAUCACAAGCAUCCAUGUCAACAACUUCACAAAAGAUUGUGUCAGAGUAACACUUACCGAUUGAAACUGGAACUUUGCAAACACUCAUACAGGUAAUUACCCCGUCGUCGUUGUUUACCCAUUUAAUCUGGCCCGGUACGGGAUACCAGUCCACCUCAUAACCCAAUGCUUUCACCAUUUUGAUCGAAACCAAAUUCUGUUCACAACCACCAUCAACAAUAAAAUCACAGAUUCUGUUUUCCACUAUGUAUCGACAUGGAAAGUACUAUUUUGACCCUGCAUCUUGACUCGUGCACAGGAGACAGGACCUUUUCAACACGUAAAACAUAUAAUCCCAAAUUGAAAACCUUGAUUUCCAAAACUCCGAAUCCCUAAUUAAUCGAAGAGUCAGAGAUCUUACCUAGAGAUCACAGGAAUCCUCGACCGAUUCUUCUAGGCGGCCUCACAGAAGAACAUCGCAGGAAAACCUUCUCUGAUACCACCUGAUAUGGCACAAGCGGAAGCAAUUAGAAAAGUAACAGAUCAAGGAGAAUCCACUCCCAAAACGUAACACUCAGUCCAAUCCAGGAGCUACGACAAUCUCUAAUCCAAGAAUUAAAACGAUAAACAAUGGUAUAAACCAAACAACUUAAGAGUUUUCAUUAAUCAUAUAAAAGUGACCUAAACCAAGCUACCUUACAAUGACAAGAACAAUGAAUACUUGUAGUUUAACUAAACCCUAACAAACCCUUGACCGAACAGAACUACACAUAUGUGUGAAGUUUAUCCUAACUAUCUAACAGCAUUAUAACAAAUCCUAACAAUGAUACGACUAAAAAGAUAAUAAGUACCGGGUCCGAGACUGAUGAUAGACAUCCUAUAUACGUCCCGUAUCAUAUUAGUAAAUAGCAUGUGCGACCGUCGAGGUACCUGAAUUUUGGGAGCUUCAUACUAGCAGCUCAAUAUGAGUUAGCAUAGAGACAUCAACCCUUUUAAAAAUGUUUGUAUCUCGUAGUAUCCUAGGUCCAUAAAAAUCUCAUUGGUCUAGACUACUCUGAUCCCUCGUAGAGCUAGUCUAACCCUCAUGCUAGCUUAUUGUAUCACAAUAACCACUGAGACGUAGAUCUGAACCCUUGUAGCAUAACAUGAGGUCGCUCGUCCCUUUGAGAUACCUUAGUAUCCUCAUGACCGCUUACCAUUGUUCAAAACCAGGAUUCGACUGGUACCGACUAACUAAUCCAAUAGCAUAGCAUAUGUCAGGCCGAGUACACAUCAUACCAUACAUCAGAAUACCAAUUGCGUUGGAAUAUGGUACUCGUGACAUCUUGUCUUUCUCUUCAGGGGUAUUAGGGCACAUCUCAAGGCUUAAGUUCUGACCUUUAGCAACUGGUGUGUCUAUGGGCUUGCAAUCUUUCAUGUGAAAUCGCUCAAGAACCCUUUUAAUGUAUGUCUCUUGUGACAUACCCAAAAGUCUCUUUGAACGAUCUCUAAGGAUCUUAAUCCCGAGCACAUAGCUUUCUUCUCCCAUGUCCUUCAUCUCAAAAGUUGAGGACAACCACUCUUUUGUGGCGACAACAAUUUCCAUGUUACUUCCAUCUAUAAGGAUAUCAUCAACAUAUAAGGACAAGAUAAGGAAAUAUUUAUCGGACCGUUUAACGUUCACACAAUGGUCUUCCUCUAUCAUCAUAAACCCAUUGGAAAUAAUGGCUCGAUCAAAUUUUAAAUACCAUUGUUUAGAUGAUUGUUUUAUGCCAUAAAUAGAUUUUUGGAGCUUGGAAACUUUGCGCUCUUGACCUUUAAUCACGAAGCCCUCUGGUUGCUCCAUGUAAGUUUCCGCAUCUAGUUCUCCAUUGAGAAAUGCAGUUUAACAUCCAUUUGAUGAAGUUCCAAAUCCAUAUGUGCGACAAUAGCUAGCAUAAGGUGUAUCGAGGAAAUUAUCACCACAGGGGAGAAAGUUUCCUCGUAGUCAACACCCUCCUGUUGGAUGUAACCUUUCGCCACAAGGAGAUCCCUAUAUCUUUCAUCUAAACCAUCCCAUUGCGUUUGACUUUGAAAACCCAUUUAUUUCCAAUAGCCUUGCGCCCUUCUGGGAGGUCAACGUAUUGCCGCACACCAUUUAUCCUCAUUGAUUAUAUCUCUUCUUCCUGUGCAAUAAUCCAUUUUUCCCUUUUAGGAGAUGACAUAGCCUCUUUAAAAUUCUUAGGCUCUGCGUCAUCAUGUGAACAAACCAUGAAACUUUCCCCCUCAAUCUGAAAACGACGACGAAGGAAUUUUCCACGUUCACUUCUCCGAGAUCGGGGAUCCUGAUUUGAUGAAGACAAUCCAUUAUCAAGUGGAACACUCCCACUUUCCCUAGGAGAACGAGGAAUUUCUUCGUGAUUCUCAACUAGACGAAUUGGUGUGUCUUCCAUUGACACUUCCACCUCAAAGAGGCUAAGAUAUCCCCCUACCUCGUUCAUUCUAGGAAAAUCCUGUUCUAGGAAAUCUGCAUCACGUGACUCAAUCUCAGUUACACUUCCAUCAGGAUGCUCACCAAUGAACACAUGGCCUUUUGAGUGAUCAGAAUAUCUGAUAAAGAUACACUUUUCGCUCGAGGGCCCAACUUUCCAUACCGAUGAGAACUGUUGUAUACAUAAGAAGAUGAACCCCAUGGUCGCAAAUUAACCAAUUCAGGUUUUCUGCCGGUCCAUAAUUCAUAUGGGAUGGAAGGCACUGACUUCGAAGGCACACGAUUAAGGACAUAGGAAGCAGUCAGUAACACAUCUCCCCAAAAAGAAAUAGGAUGAUGAGCUUGCGCCAUCAUUGACCUAACCAUAUCUAACAAAGUACGAUUCCUUCUCUCUACUUCACCAUUUUGUUGCGGAGUACCAGGAACAGUCAAUUGUCUCAGGAUCCCUUUUUUCUCACAAUACCCUUUGAAUAGUUCAGAUAGAUACUCGCGGCCACGAUCAGUUCUGAGAGCCUUAAUGCUCUUAUUUUAGUUGAUUUUCAACUUCGCAUACAUAGCGUCUAAAGCAGUCCAAUGCUUCUGUUUUGUGGGAUAUCAAGUAAAUAUGACCAUAGCGCGUAAAGUCAUCUAUGAAAGUGAUGAAAUAAGAGUAUCCAUGUCUUGCAUUAACGUUCAUUGGGACACAUAUAUCAGAAUGAAUUAAUUGCAAAGGCUCAGAGGUCCUUUUGGCUGUCCCAAACGGUUUUCUGAUGGUUUUACCUGCAAGACAAUGUUCACAGGUAGGCAAGGAGAUUUUAGCGAUGGGGCCUAAAAGACCUUCUCUAGCUAGCCUAGUCAUCCUUUCUUUCCCUAUAUGACCUAAUCUAGCAUGCAAAAUCACAGAAUCAUUAUUAACAUCUAAGAAAGACGCAACUAAUUAAAUAUAUUUAUUAACAUCAUAAGAACUAGAAUUUUCAAUAUACAAAACCAUAAAACCAUCUGACAUAAAACCAAAACCAUAAAACUCAGUUUCCAAGCAAAUCUUAACAAAAUUACCGUCAAAAAGAAAACCAAAGCCUAGACGCAACAUACUAUUAACUGAAACUAAAUUUUGUCGAAUAUCUGAAGCAUAAAGUACAUCGUGGAGGAUUAACGUGCGCCCUUGUUGCAGAUUUAGCAUAUAGGUACUGAUGCCAAGUACUUAUAUGCUAGUUGUGUUCCCCAUAUAAACUUUCAUGCUCCCAACAGGAACUUGACGAUAAUCUAGGAACCCAUCUCGGUCCCUCGCUACAUGGUCGGUUGCUCCCGAAUCUACAACCCACAAAUGAGGAGAAUGAGCAACUAAUGCUUGACUAGAAACAAAACAUUCAUAGCGAGCAAUAGAUUCAAAAAUUACCUUCUUUGGCUAAGUGCAUUCACGAGAAAAGUGUCAUUUCUUAUCACAGUUAAAGCAUUUCAUCUCUGCUUUGUCUUUAUUACCAUCACGCUUCCCUCUUUUGCGCUUAGGAGCGUUGGUAGUGUAUGACACAGAUCCAUCACGAGGAUUCUUAGCAGAAGAACCCUUACCCCUCUUGCGCUUAGACCCAUUGGUCUUAUGCUAAACAGAUUCAGCAGCAAAAACAGAACUGUCAGUCUUAGCAGCUUCCAAGCGCUCGGCUUCUAGUUCCACAUGACGAGAAAUAUCCUCAAAAGUGCGGAAAUUAUCAUUAUGUGUCAUGUUUUGCUUCAUAUGCUCCCAAGAGUUAGGUAACGAACGAAUAACAGCUUGUACAUGUUGUUCAUCUGUCAAGUGAUGACCUGCAGCCUCAAGUUCGUGUAUCAUUGACGACAUUGUCCUCAAAUGUUGCUUCAUUUUAACAUUCGGCUUCUUUUGACAAGUGUCAAACUUCAUAGUUAAAGCGCGCAACUUAGCCACAAAGGUAACUCCAGAUUUCUGCCUGACUGCCUCUAACAUGUCAUGAGCAAACUGGUGGUUCUCAAACUCCCCAAUGAGAUCAUUGUGCAUUGAGCUCAGGAUCAUAUGACGAGCACUGGGAUCCUUAUUAAUCCAUUCCUAGUAAGCCUCGAGGUUGAGACGGUGUUGUACCGUCGUACCUUCCUCAGGCCGAGGCAUCACAUGCUCAGUUAUUUCCUGCAUCCCAUCAUCAUUCAAGAGAAAAACGAUCUUUCGGCGCCAGAUAUUCUAGUUGUAUCCAUCAAGUUUUUCACCCUUGUUCAAAUUAGAAAUGAUGUUCUUGGAAGCCAUUUAGUCUAACAUAGAAGGCGAAAAAUAAGAAAAAGGAUAUUAAACUUAUGGCACUAUACACAUAUUCAAAAAAAAUAACUUUCCAGGAUUAAUCUAAAUAAAUAGCAAAACAACAUUACAAGUCGCAAGAUCGAAAAAUCGUUAAACUCCUAAUCAUCUCUCGCGCCACAGGUAAUAUUUUCUACAUCAAUUUAAUAUAUCUGCAAGUUAAUGGUUUUGGGAAUUAAACAAACUCAACCAAACAACCUCCCACUCAAUUUUUUUAACAUGUUAUUCAAUCAAAAUAGUAAUUCAAUCAAACAUGUUAUCAAACAAAGAUGAUUAUUUAAUCAAUUAACAUGUUAUAUAUACAUACAAUUCAGUAAGAUAUGAAUUCAAUCCAGCACCAUACAUGUUUUAUAUUAAGGAAAUUAGACAAUCACAACAUUAAACCAUUCACAUGAUAUCAUAGAUAAAGCGAUUAACCAUAUAAUUCAAAGAAACUCUAUCAUGUGAAUAUAAUUAGGUUCUGAAAAUAGUUUCAUUGAAUUCGGAGCGGCGAAAAACCUUAGGGUACCAAAAUUAGAGUUGAUCCAACAACCACAAAUAGAGAAACAAAUGAAAAACAAAUAACCCGGUCUGAACCGCGAACCAAACCGCCAGUCUGGACAGUAAACCGAACCGUUGGUAUAAAUCGAGAACCGAACCACCGGUCUGAACCGCGAACAAACGGUCGGUCUGAACCGAGAACUGAACCACCGAUCUGAACCGCGAACCGAACCAUCGGUAUGAACCGCGAACUGAACCAUCGGUCUGAACCGCGAACCGAACCGCCGAUCCUAGAUCGGGUUGACUCUCCGAUUUGACUCGGUUCAAAUCGCCGAUUUGAAUCGGUUACUGUUCAUCAUCUUCUCCAAAUUUCAGCAGCGUACAGACGCACAUGACCAACUUUGGGAGACGAUAUCUCACUCAUACAAGCUCCGAUUCAAGCAAAUAAUAUGUCAAAUGAAAGCUCUCAAAGAGCACUAUAUAUCUAAAUUAAUUUUAAUUAACAUAGAUCAACUUAUAUACAUCAAAACAAUCAUCAAACCAAUGCUCACAAACAUGAUAUAAAACUAGGGUUUGAAUCAAUAAUGAACAUACCAAUUAAAUAUUUCAAAACGAAACACCCGUAUCAAGAUCCGAAAGAUUCAUACAUCCAUUAAUGGUUUUUAACCCAAAAAAAAACAAUAAGAACCCUAAUCAUGAUACUAUCAUGUUAUCAGCAACUUUCAAGCAACCAAAGCAAGUUAUAUCAAGCACGAAAACGUAGCAUAACCAAUACACUAGUACAAAAAUGCCCUUUCGUCACGCUAAUUUACUGUGACCAAAUAUUUAUGGUCAUGGUGACUCAUUUUUUAAAACCGUGACGAAAGCCUGCGAGGCCAAAAGUCUAACACUACAAAAAACUUGAGCAUUGGCAACCAAGCUAGUUUGGUUGCCGAAUAUGAGUUUUUAGUUGCCAAACACAUUGGCAACUAAUGGUAGUUGCGGAGCCUAAGUUGUCGUAUGGGGUGUUUCCAAAUGUAAAGGCAAUUACUAAAAAUACAUAGUUGCCAUGGUUUCAUUUGGCAACUUAUGUUACAGGAGCCAAAUACGUUACUUAGUUAAAUGCAAUUAAUUAAAACCACAAAAUUUUGCAGUUGUUCUAGAGUUGCCAAACAUAUUAACAACAUAAUCAUCGUAAUUGUCAGUAACUUUCCACAUAAUAUGGCAACUAAAUUAAAAUCUUGUUGUGGAUUUAUUUAACAAUUAAUUUGGUGGUAGCCAAAUAAUAUGAUUUCAUAAUUUCAAUAGGUAUAGACAAUUAAGUUGAAGUUGAUUGAUAGUUAUCGAAUCGUUAAACAAUUAAAUUUACUAGUUGGCAUAUGGUUCCCAAAUCAUUCCGCAACUGUGAUAUUGUAAUUAUAAUUCCGCAACUGUGAUAUUCAUUCCGCAACUGUGAUAUUGUAAUUAUUUU